AAAAAACACUUGAACGCUGAGGUGUUGUUACUGUCUUGUGUGAAAGAAAGUCUGUGUGAUAUUCUGCUAUCUGGUUUAAUGUGUGUCUGUUGGAUUUUUUUUUUCACCUGUUUUAAGGCUUUAUAUUUUAAAAGGUAUUUCUGCUAGUUAUGAAAUUAUUCUUGGUGAUAAUUGUUAUAAAUUAAAUCCUACACUUCUUAUCAGUGUACUGGAUUUACGGGGGGUUGGGGGGUGGGGGAACCAACAACAACAAGGGGAAGUUGUGGCCUAGUGGUUAGAGAGUUUGACUCCUAACCCUAAGGUUGUGGGUUCGAGUCUCGGGCCGGCAAUACCACGACUGAGGUGCCCUUGAGCAAGGCACCGAACCCCCAACUGCUGCCGCAGCAUAAAUGAUACCCACUGCUCCGUGUGUGUUUGUGUUCACUGCUGUGUGUGUACACUUUGGAUGGGUUAAAUGCAGAGCACGAGUUCUGAGUAUGGGUCACCAUACUUGGCUGUAUGACACUUCACUUUCAGACUAAGGUAUUCUUCUUAUGACACACUGAUAAAAUUUUAUUAUUAUUUUAUUAAUUUUAUAUUUAAUUUUAUUCUUUUGAUGUACGGAAUUCAGCUAGAAAUUUUUUUUUAAGUGAAACUGUAUUCUUUACAGUAGGCUAUAUUUUGAGUCAUGUGACCUAAUUAUGCAAAUCAGGAGGGUUACUGGGAAUAUUCAUUGAGCGGGAUAUCAUUCCAUCCUCUCACAUGGUCUGUACAGCAGCUUGAAGCUUUUUAUGAUAGCUAAACUUUUAUGAUACUGCAAUAAAUUUGCGCCCUGAAUCUAUGGGUCAAUACUGCUGACAGGACUUAAGGCAGAGAGAAAUUGAUGGCAUAGAAAUGAAACUGUCUAAAGGCAUCAUUCUCCUUUUUCUGGGAUUGUUUUUUAAGGUUGCUGUGGCAGGGUAUUCCACACAGGUGUACUGGUUAGAGCUUGAAAUCGAGUCAUCGGUGUAUGACUAUGUUGUUGAGCUUCUGAUGGAGCAGACACACAUAGACAUUGCUAAUGCAAUUGUAACAGACAUCAAAAACACAACAGAUUGCACACUGAAAGAUAAUAAAAAUAUUUGUUUAUGCAUGCCGGGAUACAAAUGGAGUGAGGACAUGUGCAAAAAUCAUGGCUGCUGCAAUAACAGCUGCACGCUAAAUCUUAAUGACAUUGCUGUGUGUCUGCCUGAAACAAGAGUAAGCAUCAAUGGAUUAACUACAGUGAACAGGUCUUGCAAUAUUUUAUGUAACCCAAACGAAAAAGGUUCUGAAAAGUACAUUAAUGAGGACAAGAAAAUUACUAAUAUGGUAUGUAGGCUACUGCUGAAAAUCAACACAAUAGUGCUUUUUUUAAGUUUUCCUAAAAUCAGUUAAUUGAUUAGCAGCAACAUACAAAGUGAAAAAAAUUAUUACAUUUACAUGACUCAUCACAUUGUAUUAAAG
ensembl:lncRNA